GUGGGGAAUUUUGGACAAUGGGCGCAAGCCUGAUCCAGCAAUGCCGCGUGCAGGAAGAAGGCCUUCGGGUUGUAAACUGCUUUUGUACGGAACGAAACGGUCCUGGUUAAUACCCGGGGCUAAUGACGGUACCGUAAGAAUAAGCACCGGCUAACUACGUGCCAGCAGCCGCGGUAAUACGUAGGGUGCAAGCGUUAAUCGGAAUUACUGGGCGUAAAGCGUGCGCAGGCGGUGCUGUAAGACAGGCGUGAAAUCCCCGGGCUUAACCUGGGAAUUGCGCUUGUGACUGCAGUGCUGGAGUGCGGCAGAGGGGGAUGGAAUUCCGCGUGUAGCAGUGAAAUGCGUAGAUAUGCGGAGGAACACCGAUGGCGAAGGCAAUCCCCUGGGCCUGCACUAACGCUCAUGCACGAAAGCGUGGGGAGCAAACAGGAUUAGAUACCCUGGUAGUCC
rnacentral:rRNA from 1 species